rnacentral:rRNA from 1 species
AUGUCUUCCUCCUCCGGCGCCUUCCAACCCAGCCUCAAUGGCCAGGUCACCGAGAAGCUGAUGCGCACAAACUAUGUGCUAUGGCGCACGUAGGUCAUCCCCCAACUGCAUGGCGCCGGUGUCUUCGGCUACGUCGACGGCACCCAGCCGAAGCCGGCGAAACUCCUCGUCGCCACCAAGGACGGCAAGGAGACUUCAUCGCCCAACCCUCUCCACCCAAUCUGGGUCGGGGAGGAUCAGAAAGUUCUCGGGUACCUGCUGAACAAUCUGACGUGCGAGGUUCUGCUCACGGUGACCACGGUC